rnacentral:lncRNA from 1 species
GCAUUCCCCAUAGCUGUUUUCUAAGGAGCCUCAUCUUCCUGGCUGCCGAAACAGCAUCACCCUGCACAAUACCUCUUCAGUCACAAUGCAGCACACAAUUAAACGGCAUUGAUGCCACACAGCAGCAAUACGUGCCACUUAAAACAAGCCACUCUGAGCAAAUGACUACUUUGAAUGCAGCGGACAGAAGAGUAUUCCUGAGCACCCCAUUCACCCAGAAGCAGCAGGUGUCUCAGGGAAUCUGGAGCUCGUCUGUUUGCGAAGUUUGGCUGGCCACUGAGCUUCAGGACCCUUCCUGUCCUACCCGUGUGGUUCCACACCAGCACUGUGCCGCAGACUUGUGCCUGGCCCUGACAUUGGUGCCGCAAUCUGAACUCAGACUCUCAUGCUUUCACGUCAGGUACCAUACCAACCCAACCGCCUUCCUAAACCAUGUCAUUGUGUCUCACACCUGCAUGAUUCACAUUCACACCAUGUGAGGUGUUCUAAGCUGCCCAGAACUGGCUUGCAGGGCUCAGGACAGGAAAAGCUUGGGUGCAGCCUCCAGUUUUAUCCCCCCAGGUCUCACAACUAACUCCUUGUAAAAAGAGGGACAACUGUCCUCUCACAUCUGUCCCUUGCUUGGGAUCUUCUCAGAGUGCUUGGUGUAGCCAUGGUCCUGUGCAUCUGUACUUGGGGAGUUCAGAAGCACCCAAGUCCUAGAUUCCUCUUCAUCUGCAUCCCUGUUUUCAUUUGCCCCUUGGUUGCCAGGAGAGUACAUGUGGCCCCUGACACUACACAAACUCACCUCUCCACCCAAUUAGCUCUGACCACUGCCAGCUCUUAGACUGGAAGUCUUGGGUCAUUUUUGAGGUUUUUCUUUUUCUCUGGUGUUAAGAAUGCCACAGGACUGUUAUAAUGCUACAAAAAUUUUACAUCUCCUUUAGUCUUUUAAAAUUAUUUCAUAAUAGAAACAGUCAUUAAGUCUUCCAACCAAAAAAAAAAAAGCCCAGGACCA